rnacentral:rRNA from 1 species
UACGUAGGGGGCAAGCGUUGUCCGGAAUUAUUUGGGCGUAAAGAGCGUGUAGGCGGUCCGGUAAGUCGGCUGUGAAAGUCCAGGGCUCAACCCUGGGAUGCCGGUCGAUACUGCCGGACUAGAGUUCGGAAAGAGGCGAGUGGAAUUCCCGGUGUAGCGGUGAAAUGCGCAGAUAUCGGGAGGAACACCUAUGGCGAAGGCAGCUCGCUGGGACGUUACUGACGCUGAGACGCGAAAGCGUGGGGAGCAAACAGGA